rnacentral:lncRNA from 1 species
CUGACUUUAUCCAUUAGAUAAUUUGAUAUAACUCAAGGUCACCUAAUUGAUCUCAGGCAUCAUCAGUCACCCAUAGCUUGUAUGAUCAUCCUUCCAAUUCCAGAAUUACUAUUGUUUAUGAGCUUGAUAACAAUCAUGGUGUCAAGUUGUUGCUUCCAUUAUCAGUUAGAAAUCUUGAAUCCAAAUAUGCAAUUCAGAUAUGAAAAAACUAUCAGAAGCAGCUAAGUCAGUUACAAAAUUGAAUCUAGAGGUGAACUGUUUUCUAUGUUUUGCAUUCUAAUAUCAAAGUUGUAGUUUUUGUCCAAGAAGAACUGGUCAAUACAAUGAAAAAACAAAAUUAGUCACCACCCAUUAUCAUUACACAAAACAGAAAGCUUAAGUUAUUUUUAAAGAAAAGCGUGUUCUGGGGAUUGAAAAGAAUGUGGAAUUAUACCUGAUGAGCUUGAAAAUAGAAGAAUCUGAAAUCAACCAUUGCACCUGAUUUGCCCUGCUUGUUGUUCUGCCUUUGCAACUUUAACAUUUUUUCUUUGUCACCUCCACUCAAGUUGC